AUGUACCCACGUACACUCCGGUUCCUCCGCCCCGUCCGCACCUGCCUGACGACUGCUCGCUACGUUUUGUUAGCC
rnacentral:sRNA from 1 species